UUCUCCCCCCGCUUCCCCCAAACGGGAUCUCCCCUCCCACCAUCAGGCCCGGGAAGCCUUCGCCCAGUGACCUCUUUCCCCCCUCCCCCUCCGCUCUGCCCGGGAAGCCUCUCUCCCCUCCUCCCUCCUCCCUCGCUCAGCUCGUCCCGCCCCGGAAGCUCCUGUUGACCCCGCCCAGGCCCCGCGAAAGGGGCGCUCCGGGGUCUGUCUUUUCCUGUGGGGCCUGGCGGACCGUAGGGUCUCGCAUCAGCCAGGUAGAGGCCGAGUGAGCGCCCCCGCCCCGCACCUCGUCCGCGUUCCCCCGCCCGAGGAGCUCAGUGCCUGCGACCGUCGCUGUGCUUCCCGCCGAAAUCGCUCAGACGCGCCCCUGGCGGCCCGCGCGGCUCCGAGCUGAAGAGCGCAGUCCCAACCCUCCUAAGAGGCGUUUGCGCACAGCCAGUUGAGUUUCAUUUUCAGGUUAAUAACAAAAGGCGACGCAUCUGGACUUUCCCCGGAGCCCUCUGCGUUUUUAAAGCGUCGGGUGGAAUUAGGGGUCCUUUGGCUGUAAACCGCGCUUAUUUGAUGAAAAUAGAAAUCAGUCCUGCUCCCCUCAGCGGACAGUUCGUUACCUACCAGGAGAGUCUCCGACUGUGGGCAUCCCCUCCCUGGGUGGUUCUUUAAGCCACAAAAAGCUGCACCCAAGCUUGUUUGACGUCUGUCCUCUCAAGUGUCCAUGAUGCUGGGCCCCGAGGGAGGUGAAGGCUUUGUGGUCAAGCUCCGUGGCCUGCCCUGGUCCUGCUCUGUUGAGGAUGUGCAGAAUUUCCUUUCUGACUGCACAAUUCAUGAUGGGGCUGCAGGCGUUCAUUUCAUCUACACUAGAGAAGGCAGGCAGAGUGGUGAGGCUUUUGUUGAACUUGAAUCAGAAGAUGAUGUCAAAA